rnacentral:misc_RNA from 1 species
GGGUUCACCAAGCAUUACACAGAUAUCUUUAACAUUUCAAGAAGAUUCCCUGGGCAAUGUUCAUUCUGGAGCACCUCCUCCAUGGUUCAAUGCGGUUGAAAAAAGUCAGCUAGAUUUUGUAUCAAAUCCUGGAAGGAGUGACCCCUUCCCUCCCAAUCAGAAGAAGAAGUCGAAACUAAACCCAAACCGGGUUGGUGCUGCUUGGGCAGAGAGAAG